AAAAAAAAAAAAAAAAAAAAAAAAAAAAAAAAAAAACAACAGCUUCAUCCAAAAAGCUUCACCCGAAAAGCUUCACCUCCAAAGCUUCACCCACAAAGCUUCACCUAAAAAGCUUCACCCAAAAAGCUUCACCCGAAAAGCUUCACCUCCAAAGCUUCACCCACAAAAGCUUCACCUAAAAAGCUUCACCCACAAAGCUUCACCCAAAAAAAAAACUUCACCCGAAAAGCUUCACUUAAAAAAGCUUCACCUACAAAGCUUCACCUAAAAAAGCUUCACCUAGAAAGCUCCAUCUACAUACUUUCACCAUCAAAGCUUCACCAUCAAAGCUUCACCUAGAAAGCUUCAUCUACAAAGCUUAACCAUCAAAGCUUCACCUAGAAAGCUUCAACACCAAAGCUUCACCUACAA
rnacentral:lncRNA from 1 species